rnacentral:lncRNA from 1 species
UUGGCCCAGUAGUUUCAGAGGAGAAGAUUUUUGAAAUAGUUUACUAUGACAGACGACGAAUGCCAAGUGAUGGCAUAAGCUCACAUGAGCGCCUUCGGGCCCUAGUGAGCAAACAAAGGAAACUAAAUGAUGACAGGAAAACAAACUGACUAACAUAUAAUUAUGUUCUACUGAAAAAUAUAUACCCUCAACAAUUUUAAUGUUAGGAUGAGACAAAACCUACAGACAUUCAAGAGACAAUUUAAUUUGCAUAAAAUAAUAUGUUCAACAAAAU